CGAGGUGGUUGGUCGGUUCGUCGAGGAGCAGCAGAUUCGGCUUCUGCCAGAUGAUGAGCGCGAGUGCGAGUCGCGCCUUUUCGCC
rnacentral:tRNA from 1 species